AUACGUAGGGGGCAAGCGUUGUCCGGAAUGAUUGGGCGUAAAGGGCGCGUAGGCGGCCUGUUAAGUCUGGAGUGAAAGUCCUGCUUUCAAGGUGGGAAUUGCUUUGGAUACUGGCGGGCUGGAGUGCAGGAGAGGUUAGUGGAAUUCCCGGUGUAGCGGUGAAAUGCGUAGAGAUCGGGAGGAACACCAGUGGCGAAGGCGACUAACUGGACUGUAACUGACGCUGAGGCGCGAAAGUGUGGGGAGC
rnacentral:rRNA from 1 species